UUAUCCUCCUCUCUCCUCCGUCUUGCUUUGGCUUUGGUUUCUCCUUUCCUCUAUCCUUAUCGUCCUCUCUGUCUUUCUCAACCUCAGAGAAAUCCAAAGAAUUCCGCACUUUCGACCUCCGCCUCAAAAUCAACAUCGGAUUGAACAGAUUAGAGCAUCUAUAUCUGCUACAUAUUCAUGCUCACGAAUAGAAACUGAGCCGGUUCGGCUUCCAGCAGAGUAGGCAGUGACAGUCCAACCC
rnacentral:misc_RNA from 1 species